UGAGGCAGGAGAAUCGCUUGAACCCAGGAGGCGGAAGUUGCAGUGAGCUGAGAUUGCACCACUGCACUCCAGCCUGGGUGACAGAGUGAGACUCCAUCUCAAAAAAAAAAAA
rnacentral:miRNA from 1 species